AUGGUUUUUAAGUUGGACUUCAGGAAAGCAUUUGACUCCAUAUGUUGGACCUCCCUCAUUCAAAUUCUAACAGCCCGUGGCUUCCCCUCCAUCUUCUGCGCUUGGGUCCAAAAUAUCCUCUCUACUGGCAAAACGGCUAUUCUUUUGAAUGGUGUUCCAGGGCCCUGGAUUCAAUGUCGAUGUGGACUUAGACAAGGGGACCCAUUCUCACCGUAUCUGUUCAUCAUCGUCGCGGAUGUUCUCCAAAGAUUAAUUGCCAAAGCCUUUCAACCUAACAUACUCUGCCACCCUCUAAGACCAAAUGAACCACCGGUGACACUGCAAUACGCGGAUGAUACCCUCAUAAUCGCUGCUGCUAGUGAUGCAGCAACCUUGAUUCUCAAAAAAACCCUUCACGAUUUCGCUCUGGCAACAGGGUUGGUAAUCAACUACCACAAAGCUGCUCUUCUCACAAUUGCUACGGACUCUGCUACUCAAAAUAACAUUGUUGCUACUAUCGGAUGCUCAACAUCAGAUUUUCCGCUGGUGUACCUAGGGCUACCACUUUCCCCUACAAAAUUACCACUGACCGCCUUCGACCCCAUCAUAGAUAACUUUCGGAAAUUCCUCUUUGGCUGGGUGGCGCGCCUUCUCUCAAGGGGGCUAGGCUCACCCUCCUGA
rnacentral:rRNA from 1 species